AUUUAUUCAUAAAAAAUAUGAAUCUCCUUUAAAACAUAAAAUAAAAUAUGAAGAUGAAUCGUACAUAAUGAGAGUGAAUGUGUACUGGAGAUUAUCUCCCGCAACUACCAUUCCAUGCUUCUCUUCUGCGUGCUUCAACUCCAAAAUCCUCACGGACAACUACCAUUCAGCACUCUCUCUCCCUCCAAGUCAUGCUUCCACGUCCCAGCACAAUAUGAUAUCUGUCCAAUGUUUCAAGUACCAUAAUAAUACCUCCCAGUCUUCUCCACCUACCUUUCAACUUCAAGCUUUUUCGAUUUGCUUGCCAUUUGCCUUCCAAUUUUUCUGUGAGUUUAGAUUAUUCUUUCUAGUUUUUCUUUGAUGGUUUUUUACUCAUUUGUUAUGUCUUGACUUGUUUCCAUUCCCGUAUUUCUUCCUUCUCUUUAGCAUACUGGCAUAGGAAUUCUUGAUCCAUUUAAAUACAAAUAGAGCAAGUAAUUGUGGUGAAAUAUCUCAUAAUUGUUGCGUAUUAUAGAUAUUUCUGAGAGAAAAUAGAGGGGGAGACUUUUCUUAUUGUUCUUCUCAACCGGCAAUGGAGGAGUUCUCAAAUGGGCAAAUUGAGGUGGCCCAGAAAGUGGAAACAGAUGAAGAAGACAACAGAGGAGUUGCCAAAGAAUUUGAGGAACUGAAACCUGAAGUUGAAUCUGUGAGAGAAAUUGUUGUUGAUGGGAAUUCUGAGUCUUUCAAAGAAACUCAUGAUGUGCUGAGUUCUGAUAGCAGCAACAGUCCAGAGGAAGAGGCGGAAGCUAAAGAUCAGAGUCUUUCAGCAAAGGAUUCAGGGACAUUAGAGGAGGAGGUGAAGAAAGAUGUUACUGACAUCAUAAUCGAGUCAGCUGAGUCUAUUGUGCCUUUGCCACAAGUACUCUCUUCGACUACAGAAACAUCAAUUGAGAAAUCACAGGAGCCUGAUGUGACUGAAGUGGAACAAAAAGAAAUUGAAGUGAAAAUCUUCCCGUCUUCGAAUGAGACCAAUGAGAAGACAACUCUGGAUGAGACUGAUGGAGGUGUAUCUGAAGUGGCGCCAGAUGGAUCUAAGGAAACAAGGCUGCCAUCUUCGGAUGAUAAACGUGAUUUAUCUGCAAUUGCAACAGAUACGGUGUCAGAUGGAGUUGAGGAAGCAAUAGUGAUAGCUUUGGAGGAGAACACUGGGGAGCCCUCUGCCUUUGUUGAUAAAGAAUCCGAGGAAAAUACUGAUGAUUCACUGAAGCCAUCAAACAAUGCUACUAUUGUUGGCAGUAGUGAUGGUUUCCCUGAGAGCAAAGGAAAUCCACAUGUUACAUCUCUUAGUCAGCGCACCCUGCAACGUACAUCUUGGAGGAGCUGCUGUGGCCUUUUUGAAGUUCUCCGGCGCUAAAUCGAUGAAUCAAGGUGAGUCGACUACUAAUGAAUAAAUUCGUGUCAUUUCUGUUUGGCUUAAGGGAAUAAUGAACUUGUUUAUUCAAUUCUUUUUUUGUUUAAUCUGAGAAGGAUUGGAUUGAUUGUGAAUAGGUAUAUGUUUAACUGGCAUAAUUAUUUCCUGUGCGAUGCGUAGAACAAUAGCCUGGAACCCUUUUAUCUGUACCAUGAGUUUUUGUCAAGGGACUAAAUUGGUUCGACUCUGAAGUUUUUGUGGGGUUGGGGGAUUAAAAUUGAGCUACGUAAAGGUGCCAAUCCAGGAUAAUCCAAUCUAGCUUUUCAUAGAAUUUUCGUAUUUGUCGGGUUUUUAUAAGCUUAUUAAUUGAGACAGACAUUUAUCAUGUGAAAAUUCUGUCAAGCGAAAAAGGCCAAGCGGAAACUCACUCUUGAACUCUUCCAGCAUUGUUUCAAUUUUUCAACAUUACAUAGCAUCAAAAUGAGCAAAGCUAUCUUUCUGUUUCCAUCUUUGCUUCCAAGCUACCAUCUUUAAUGAACUUUUCUAGUCAUUAGCACAGCACACACUGCAGUGUCUGGUAGUUUUACCGUCUACUUGAAAGAAAAUUGUUCACCUGGAGUGUACUAAAGAACAGAUCAACCUAACACAAUAUCCAGAUCCUCAUAUAGUUGGGCUUGACAUUUGCCAUUUUAUCACCAGUGGUAAAAUUGGAGAUGGACAUUUAUUUGAGUUUUGGUUUUUCAGUUAAGUGUAUGGAUCUUCUAGAAAUGUAUUUUGUACUUUUGGAUUCUUCUAAAAGAGUUCACGUUUCAGGGCACUUGGUCGAAAUUAUUGUUUGUUCCUAAUUUAGUGGUCAGCUUUUAUAUCUAUGACGGAGAAUCUUGCAUUCACUUGUACCUUCUAUAAGUUCUUGCAGAUCCAACGCAAGGAAAUCCAUAAUUAACUGGAAAUAAGAACAAAAGGAAAGAACUAUGGAAGUAAACAUGAAAGAAAUAAUAUUGUUUUCUUUUUCAGAGAUUCAAAACUUGUGCAAACACAAAUGCCUAAGUUUUGUUUUCUUUAUCUUUACUGUAAUGCAGAUACUAUGCAUAAUUUCAUAAGAAGCUUGCAGAUCAUAAUUUAUGGUUUCAAAAAUUUUCUGUACAACAGUAUUGAAGAAGAAAAAGUGCCAUGGUGAAUUUUCUCAAGAUUAAUUGUUUGAAAUGAGUGUUAAAACCUGGUAGGCAGCUCAAGUUUGUUAUUUGUGUGGUGUGUUCGCUGUGGUUAACAGUUUGGUGGCAGAAACCCACAUUUUCGUGUGUAUAUUUUCGCAAUGCUAUUUAUUUAAUUGGAAGAAGCAGGGUGUAUGAGGAUGAUUACUUUGUUAUCUACUUUGGCUUAUCAGAUUUCGAUCGAAUGAACAUUCAUUCAUAUGCCAAGUUCUUUGAUCAUGAUCUUUGGCCUCAUUCCAUCAUUGCCGCUGUAAGCUGGUAGCAUUCAAACAAAGGCAUUUUGUUGUUAAUAGAAUACUGGGUUUAAUUAUCAAGGAGCUUUAGCUCAGUGGUAUUGAAGUAAGGUUUCGAGUUCGAACCUAGUCAAAGACCAAUCAACUGAAAAAGAAAUUUGGUUUAAUUCAUUAACAAGAGAAUUGCCAGCUUGAUGAUGUAAAACAACAUAUUUUGCACCACUGCAAUAGGGUUUCUGUCAUGAAAUCAUGCUGACAUAGAUAGAUUAGGGUUGCUGAUUAUGCUGUAGAUAUAAAAGAGAACAAUGAAAUCCAUUUACUUGCAAUGGAAACAGAA
rnacentral:misc_RNA from 1 species